AUGUCCACCAAUCAUUCUGAGAUAAUUGCUUUGUUCGAAGCAACACGAGAAUGUGUAUGGCUUCGCAGAAUGAUGAACUUUGUCCAAAGUUCAAGUGGGAUUGGUUCGUUAAAAUCACCCACCAUUAUCUAUGAAGAUAAUGCUGCUUGUAUUGCACAAAUGCAAACGGGUUAUAUUAAGAGCAAUAUUACGAAGCAUAUUUCUCCUAAGUUGUUUUAUCCCCAUGAUCAGCAAGAAAAGGGGGAGAUAAGUAUUUUGCAAACAAAGUCAUGCAACAAUCUCGUUGAUCUGUUUACUAAGUCCUUACCAAGUUCUCUGUUUCAUAAAUAUGUAACUGGAAUUGGUAUGCAACAACUUCGAGACUUGCAAAAUUCAGGGGGAGAAAUCUCCUAA
rnacentral:rRNA from 1 species